UCCCGAGAGAAAAAGAAAAAGGGGUAGAACUCAAAUGCAAAGUGUACAUGGAAGGAGAGAAUGCAAGUUGAUCGUGCUAAAUGACUUGAAUCAGCCCAUUGGUCCAACUGAUGAAGUUGUAAAAGAGUUGGGUAGCUUUCUCGGCACAUUGGCAAGGAAGAGGACCUUUUGUCCGCUUAAUGUAUUUAAUUGGAGGAAACUAGACACAACAGAUGAUAUGUGGAAAUAUAUCAAGGCAAAAUAUGACAUCCCGGGGAGGCGAAACCAUGGGUUUUUCAUUCAAUUCAGGUUGCUUGGAGAAAGUAUAAGAAUGAAUUGAAGAACGAUUAUUUUGAAGCCUAUGCCAAUGAUGAGCUUCAGAUGGAGAACAUGCCGAUAGAUAUUUCGCAAUCUCACUUUAAGGAUCUUCUUAACUAGUGAUACUCCGAUUCCCGCAAGCACUUUUGUACUGCAGAGCAUAUUCUGCUAAGCUCUGUUUUAGUUGUGGCCGUGAAGUUCAUUCCAAUAAUCAGCUUUUCACUAAGCAUACACGUUGGCUACUCUGUGAUUCUUCUCCAGCUUCCAUAUUGUGUUGCACAGACAGUUCUGAUUUCUGUCACAACUGUGAUUGGGAAUCUCAUAAUCUGGUUGUUUAUUCCAGUUUUGGGUGCUAUAGGUAGUUUAUACAUAUCUAGUUAAGGUGAAUCUACUUUUCUGCAGCACUUGUUUGCAGCACUUGAUUUCUCUUUUUUUCUGCAGCACUUGUUUGGGGGAAAUGAGUUUUGGAGCAACAAACCAUGCUGCCAAAUCUUGAGUUAUAUUUUCAUUGAUGCUGCCAAAUCUAUUGACUCGUUUUAUUUGCAGAAACAAUCCAAAACCAACAUUGAGAAUCGAAAAAAGUUGAAGCAUCCACACACUGCUGACAGGACAAGUUUUGCUCAAAUCCGCGAGUUACUAGGUUGUGUAGACGCAUUUGCAUCAGUAAUGGGACCCAAGCAUCCAGGUCGUGUAAGAUUGUAUGGACGUGGGGUUACCAAGACCGUCUUAAAAAGGAAAAUGGAAGAUUUUGGACCCUCUUUAAAGGCUACAGAUGACAGGAUGCAACAGAAAAUGGAGGAAAUGGAAGAUAGGAUGUAACAAAGGAUGUUGGAAAAAUUCAAUCCACACAAGGAUGCUUGGGAACAAGAAAUUACACAUAAUGUCGCUUCACAACUUCGACGUAUGAAUCCAGGAUUACAAAUUGAUCCUAACAUGCUGAAUUUUAGUGCUCGUUCACCUAGAGAAGCUUCAUCUGCCAACAUAAUGCUAUUCAACUAAUCAAUCGCCUCUCAACUGGUAGUAACAAUGGAGGUGGGAGAAAAUGAUGAAAGGGAAGGCGGAGAUAUUGGUGAUCUAGACCUUACUUAAGAGGAUUUUUGGAUUAUUACUGAAAUUUUAGAUAUUUUAAGAAUAUUUUAUGCUAACUCUUGAAUUGUAAAAGCUUAUGCAUGCACUUGGAUGGGUUUUGAACAUUUUGCUUUGAUGGAUAUUAAUUACAAGUUUGUUUGAAAAUUAUUUUGGAUUGUAAAAGUUUGUGAGUAAUUUAUUAUGUGACUUAUAUAAA